UCCCCUGUGGCUCAGUUGGUAGAGCAUGGUAUUUGCAACGCCAAGGUUGUGGGUUCGAUUCCCACGGGAG
rfam:Salmo salar isolate Sally breed double haploid chromosome ssa03, whole genome shotgun sequence.